rnacentral:rRNA from 1 species
GACGAACGCUGGCGGCGUGCCUAAUACAUGCAAGUCGAGCGGACUUUCAAGAAGCUUGCUUUUUGAAAGUUAGCGGCGGACGGGUGAGUAACACGUGGGCAACCUGCCUGUAAGACGGGGAUAACUCCGGGGAACCGGGGCUAAUACCGGAUAAUAUCUUUCUUCGCAUGAAGGAAGGUUGAAAGGCGGCGCAAGCUGCCGCUUGCAGAUGGGCUCGCGGCGCAUUAGCUAGUUGGUGAGGUAACGGCUCACCAAAGCGACGAUGCGUAGCCGACCUGAGAGGGUGAUCGGCCACACUGGGACUGAGACACGGCCCAGACUCCUACGGGAGGCAGCAGUAGGGAAUCUUCCGCAAUGGACGAAAGUCUGACGGAGCAACGCCGCGUGGGCGAAGAAGGUCUUCGGAUCGUAAAGCUCUGUUGUCAGGGAAGAACAAGUACCGUUCGAAUAGGGCGGUACCUUGACGGUACCUGACCAGAAAGCCACGGCUAACUACGUGCCAGCCGCCGCAGUAA